rnacentral:rRNA from 1 species
GACGAACGCUGGCGGCGUGCUUAAUACAUGCAAGUCGAACGGAAAGGCCCUGCUCUUGUGGGGUGCACGAGAGGCGAACGGGUGAGUAAAACGUGAGUAACAUGUACUUGACUUUGGGAUAACUUCACGAAAAUGGGGAUCAUAUCGGAUAGGAGCUCCUGCUGCAUGGUGGGGGUUGGAAAGUUUCGGCGGUUGGGGAUGGACUCGCGGCUUAUCAGCUUGUUGGUGAGGUAGUGGCUUACCAAGGCUUUGACGGGUAGCCGGCCUGAGAGGGUGACCGGGGACAUUGGGACUGAGAUAGGGCCCAGACGGGUACGGGAGGCAGCAGUGGGGAAUAUUGCGCAGUAGGGGGAAGCCAGAGGCAGCGACGCCGCGUGCGGGAUGACCUCCUUCGGGUUGUAAACCGCUGUCGACUUAGACGAAGAGUGAGUGACGGUAAUGGGUAAAGAAGCAACGGCUAACUACGUG